CUAUGACCCAUGGGAGGGAAGCAGCCCUUUCUCACACAGUUCAGGGCAGGAUUUGGCUCCUGAUUCGUGGUUUCUUUUCCAGGCAGUAGGAGGGUUUUUAAGCAGAUCUCCUUAUCUGGGUGCUGCUGCUUUGAUGUAAGGAGUGAGAUAAGGAAUGGGAACAUCCCCAGUCCUGCCUGUGAGGACCCAAAAGCUCCUCACCCCAACCCCCCACUGCCCCAGCACCACACGAGAGGCUGCUCAGCUUGUGCCAACACCAGUCCAGAAGGGUGGCAAGCACUGGUUCCCCGUGGGUGCUGGCACAGGCGCCUCGGGGGGAUGCUCAGUGCCUCUGUCACCGAAACCCCGGCACAGCCAGAGCCUUCCCUGGGAAUGGGGAGGGGUUUGGGUAACAGUGGACUGGCCCACAUGCUCUGGGGCCCACGGGAGCUAUUCCAGCCCGGCUGGGGGUGUUGGCACCCGGGCUGGGGGCCCAGCCCUGCCUGGGCUGUGCCCAUGUCCCAGGCACGGCUCAGCCCUCGGGGCUCCCGGGGGACCCCCAGCCCCUCGUCCUCCCCCGCAGCAGCUCCGGGGGCUGUUGUUCCUCUGGCACUUCCCAGGGCUGCAGCUUUACAUUACUUUGACAAGAAACAAUUUUUUGUUGCCGAGGACUCUCCCCAGUGCUCGGUUUGAUGGGGCCGCUGGGGUGCGGAGCAGUUACAGCUCCACAUUUGUGUAAAAUAGUCGGAUCCACAAACCCAGCAGCGUUCCAGGGAUUGGACCCAAGGGUUGGCUCUAUAAUUUAACGCUGAUUUGGCUUGUGUUGAACAAGUGGUGCCCGUUUGAAGAAAGCUCAUAAAAUAUUUGAAAUUACUGCUGUCAGGAAUUAAUGACACAUUUCCCUGAGCCGUUUCAGCAGCUCUGGGGCUCCUGUUCCGUGUUCCACUGGCAGAGGUUGUUGAUUUCACAGGCAAAAGAAAAGCAGAACAAUGUAUGGAUGAAGGCGAUUGUAUUCAUGUGAUUUAGGGUAAUAAUUUGAGAGAGAGGGAAUAAAUUGUGAGACACAGAGCCUGUAAUUCCGCAGCAUAAUUUUAAUAUUGCUACCAAAAUUGGCUUCAUCUCAGUUACUUUAGCCCUUAGAAAGUUUGAACAGAUGGCAGCUCUUGCUCUAACUGUAUAUCUAAUUUAGCUUGCAUGACUUUUUGAUUAUGUAUGUUUGAAUUAAUGGGUUUCUCUCUGUUUGUUACAUCAUCGGGUUAAUGGUGUUUAAAAGACAAUGAUUUGUAUCAAUUCUCUGUUGGUCAACAGUCAAAAGUAAAUGAAAUUUACUACCAAAAAAAAUGGUGCUGAACAUGAAAGAACUCUACAAGGGAUAAAUUGAUCCUUGCCAAAUUAGGCACAGAUCUUUGCUGCCAAACCUACGUAGCCAGGGAAGAGAAGGGUGACUGGAGGAGUGACUGAGCACUGUAUCACAGAUGUCACCACUGCCUCAGUGUUUCAGAAGGAAUUGCUUCGUGGAAAGAGCUGUUAAACACUGGCAGGGGCUGCCCAGGGAGGUUUGGAGUGCCCAGCCCUGGAGGUGUCCCAGGAAGGCCUGGCCGUGGCAAUUAAUAAAUCACCUUUGUUAAGAGCAGUUGUGGCCCCAGUCCCUCAGGCUUUGCAGCAGUUUGUAGGGAACAGACCCAAAUUCCAAUCUUACCUCUAAAGUUCUAACAGGUUCUGUUAGAGAGAUACUGGACGGAAAGGAUUCCACGGAAUUCCAAGACUGCACAAGGAAUAACAGGAGGUUUUCCAUGAAGAAGUUCUUUUUUCCCCUCCUUUCUCCGGGGCUGUAGGACCCACUGUCCCUUUGGCUGCUGUGGGGCUGCUGAUCAGCUCCUCUGGCUUUAAAGCCUUGCUGCAUUUUGAUGCUAAUGAGCUGGGAACCUCUAAUUAAUGUGUAUGGUUCAUCCUUACACCUGUCAUUUAGCCUUUAAAUGGAAAGGUUCCGGGUGUGUAUGGGCUAUCCAGGUAGUGGGUAUUUCUCUUUAUUCGAUUAUAAUUAUUCUGUCUAGAAGGUGCCCCUCUGUCAAGGCACUUGGGAAGAUCCACAGGCUGUCAAGAAGAGCAUGAACCUGUAAAUGCAAAUCUUGAAAGAGGCAGGGUGGCCGUUUUCCUCCCCGGCAGACACCGAGGGCUGUUUUCCCUGGAGCUCCGGUGUUUGCUCAGAGCAAAGACAUCUGCUAACCGUGACCCAGCCAGCUCUGCUCCUGCAUAACGAGAACACGCAGCUCACUCCAACAGAAACUUUACUUUUA